rnacentral:rRNA from 1 species
GACGAACGCUGGCGGCGUGCCUAAUACAUGCAAGUCGAACGCAGUGGGGACGGGUGAGUAACACGUGGGUAACCUCCCAUCAGAGGGGAUAACAAUUGGAAACAGGUGCUAAACCGAUACUGAUGGAUGGACCCGCGGUUCAUUAGCUAGUUGGUGAGGUAACGGCUCACCAAGGCCACGAUGCAUAGCCGACCUGGAAGGUGGAUCGGCCACACUGGGACGAGGACACGGCCCAUACUCCUACGGGAGGCAGCAGGAGGGAAUCUUCGGCAAUGGACGAAAGUCUGACCGAGCAACGCCGGGGGAGUAAAGAAGGUUUUCGGAUCGUAAAACUCUGUUGUUAGAGAAGCGGUAUCUAACCAGAAAGCCACGGCUAACUACGUGCCAGCAGCCGCGGUAAUUC